GAUGAAGAACGUAGCGAAAUGCGAUAAGUAAUGUGAAUUGCAGAAUUCAGUGAAUCAUCGAAUCUUUGAACGCACCUUGCGCUCCUUGGUAUUCCGAGGAGCAUGCCUGUUUGAGUGUCAUGAAAUUCUCAACCUUUUCAGCUUUCUUUGUUGAUCAGGCUUGGAUGUGGGAGUAUGCGGGCUUCUCAGAAGUCGGCUCUCCUGAAAUGCAUUAGCGGGACCUUUGUUGCCUGGCUUUGGUGUGAUAAUUAUCUACGCCAUUGUAGUCAAGCAGCUUAAAAUGAGGUUUCAGCUUCUAACCGUCUCCCCUGAGACAACUUUUUGACAAUUUGACCUCAAAUCAGGUAGGACUACCCGCUGAACUUAAGCAUAUCAAUAAGCGUAGGA
rnacentral:misc_RNA from 1 species